rnacentral:rRNA from 1 species
GUUGCGGACAGUGUCUGGUGGGUAGUUUGACUGGGGCGGUCUCCUCCUAAAGAGUAACGGAGGAGCACGAAGGUUGGCUAAUCCUGGUCGGACAUCAGGAGGUUAGUGCAAUGGCAUAAGCCAGCUUGACUGCGAGCGUGACGGCGCGAGCAGGUGCGAAAGCAGGUCAUAGUGAUCCGGUGGUUCUGAAUGGAAGGGCCAUCGCUCAACGGAUAAAAGGUACUCCGGGGAUAACAGGCUGAUACCGCCCAAGAGUUCAUAUCGACGGCGGUGUUUGGCACCUCGAUGUCGGCUCAUCACAUCCUGGGGCUGAAGUAGGUCCCAAGGGUAUGGCUGUUCGCCAUUUAAAGUGGUACGCGAGCUGGGUUUAGAACGUCGUGAGACAGUUCGGUCCCUA